AACGAACGCUGGCGGCAGGCCUAACACAUGCAAGUCGAGCGCCCUUUCGGGGAGCGGCGGACGGGUGAGUAACGCGUGGGAAUAUGCCCUUCUCUACGGAAUAGCCUCGGGAAACUGAGAGUAAUACCGUAUACGCCCUUUGGGGGAAAGAUUUAUCGGGGAAGGAUUAGCCCGCGUUGGAUUAGGUAGUUGGUGGGGUAAUGGCCUACCAAGCCGACGAUCCAUAGCUGGUUUGAGAGGAUGAUCAGCCACACUGGGACUGAGACACGGCCCAGACUCCUACGGGAGGCAGCAGUGGGGAAUCUUAGACAAUGGGGGCAACCCUGAUCUAGCCAUGCCGCGUGAGUGAUGAAGGCCUUAGGGUUGUAAAGCUCUUUCAGCUGGGAAGAUAAUGACGGUACCAGCAGAAGAAGCCCCGGCUAACUCCGUG
rnacentral:rRNA from 1 species